GACGAACGCUGGCGGCGUGCCUAAUACAUGCAAGUUGAGCGCUGACGGCUGGUACUUGUACCAACUGGAUGAGCAGCGAACGGGUGAGUAACGCGUGGGGAAUCUGCCUUUGAGCGGGGGACAACAUUUGGAAACGAAUGCUAAUACCGCAUAAAAACUUUAAACACAAGUUUUAAGUUUGAAAGAUGCAAUUGCAUCACUCAAAGAUGAUCCCGCGUUGUAUUAGCUAGUUGGUGAGGUAAAGGCUCACCAAGGCGAUGAUACAUAGCCGACCUGAGAGGGUGAUCGGCCACAUUGGGACUGAGACACGGCCCAAACUCCUACGGGAGGCAGCAGUAGGGAAUCUUCGGCAAUGGACGAAAGUCUGACCGAGCAACGCCGCGUGAGUGAAGAAGGUUUUCGGAUCGUAAAACUCUGUUGGUAGAGAAGAACGUUGGUGAGAGUGGAAAGCUCAUCAAGUGACGGUAACUACCCAGAAAGGGACGGCUAACUACGUG
rnacentral:rRNA from 1 species